CAGAAGAAGCACCGGCUAACUCCGUGCCAGCAGCCGCGGUAAUACGGAGGGUGCGAGCGUUAAUCGGAAUUACUGGGCGUAAAAGCGCAUGCAGGUGGUUUGUUAAGUCAGAUGUGAAAGCCCGGGGCUCAACCUCGGAAUUGCAUUUGAAAACUGGCAAACUAGAGUACUGUAGAGGGGGUAGAAUUUCAGGUGUAGCGGUGAAAUGCGUAGAGAUCUGAAGGAAUACCGGUGGCGAAGGCGGCCCCCUGGACAGAUACUGACACUCAGAUGCGAAAGCGUGGGGAGCAAACAGGAUUAGAUACCCUGGUAG
rnacentral:rRNA from 1 species